GGGAGGUGUGAUCCUGUGCUUCCUGGGAGGUGUGAUAUUGUCUUCCUAGGAGGUGUGAUCCUGUGCUUCCU
rnacentral:pre_miRNA from 1 species